CACAUCACUCAUUCUCUUCCCCUCUCUCUGCAGAUUCGCGAAAAAAGAAAAACGAGAUAUAGAGCGCCGACAACAAAGGAAACGAGAAGGCUCGCGUGCCGAUUUCCAUCCCCCACUUUUUUUUCUUCGCUUUUUGGAGUCUGAGUAGCUGGUGAAGAGUAAGUCGCAGCAUCCGCCCAAGUGCAUCUGUGUAUAGCUAUAUAUAUGUAAACAUAUAUAUAGCUGUAUACAGAUGCGACGCCAGACAUUUGAACUGUUCUCUCGUAAUCUCCACACCCUUUCCUUUUUCCUCUACCUCUGAGGUCCUCGUUAUUAUCGUGGUUUUUCACACAUCUCUCUCAUCUUCACCCGAUACACCGCACCGUAGCGCAGAAGAGAGGCCUUUUCACCACUCUGCCCCCCUCCCCCACACACGCACACCCGCACACCUGAACCCAUAGACACCGCACUGAGCCCGCGUGAGAGCCCUCGCACCCUCCACCGCACUCCACACACGCGCAAAGAGAGGGGCUCACGCCGAUACGUUGGUUUUCCUUUUCAUCUUUCCUUUUCACGCAUACAUCGACUACGCUAAAGGCCAGCACAGGCCUGCCCCGUCCACCGCCCCCUCCCUCCCCUGCUCUCUCUCUCGCCGCCUCCUCCUCCUCGACGCGUCAACACACCUCCUGAUCACUCACCCACAUCCGCAACAGUCUACACCACGGCAGCGUCGCACCGGCUGCAUUCUCCUCCGCGCCUACACACUCCGUCGCACGCACACGUUUCCACUCCAAUUCAUCUGCCACCACUCGCGCUCUACGACGUGAUUUGCUGAUUCGUUUUACUAAAUUUGCUUUUUGUUUGUGUGUGUGUGUGUCGGCGGCCUCUCUUGCACACCAGGUGCCGCCCGACCUAUUAAUCGACCUUUCCACCUAUAGAUACACACAGAUACAGCAGUGACUCGUGCCAACGCAUCUCGCCGCACCGAGUCGUUUUGCUGGCGGUACUGUGCUCCGGCGCGUUUUAGUCUCUUUUCGUUACCGUGCUGUUACGCGCUGUAGACAACAACACACACACACACACACACACACACACACACACACACAUACACACCAGUGAGGUGGGGCUGCUGUUGCUGCUGCUCACGUGUAGCCCAGUGAAGCCAAGCCAUGCUCGCCUUUACCAUUACGUCGACAGAGCAGGAGCGGACAGUGAAGCGGCUGAAGGUCGACAGCCCUUCAGCGUCUCUCGAAUGCGAGGAUGACGGUGAGAACAGCUGCAGCAGCGUGCCGCAUAUCGCAGAGGCCAAUCCUGCGUUAGAGAGCGCGCAGCGUACUCCAGCCCUGUCCAAGCACGCUGACACUCCUGCAACGGAGGCGGUGAAUGGCGUCUCUCCCGAGGUCUCACCAGCGAACUCGUCGAGGAGCCGCCACAGCAGCGAUGACGAUGAUGACGGCAAGGAUGAAAAGGACCUGAGUGACGACCACCUCUCUUCCCCGGUGGCACGGCAGUUUAACGGCGACACGUGGCGCGUGACACGUACACCAACGGGGUCUGCCGUGAAGGUCACGACCGCCAUAACCGGCGCUGCAGCUGUUCCGCCGCCCCCCAUCACGACAAACGGCGCCAUCACCACACUGCGCAGUCUUGGCCAACUGCAGACGCUCGUGAGCAGCACAAACACAACGUCCGCGAAGGAUAAGGUGCACCCGAGCCUGCGGCUCAAGCCGGGCGAGACGGUAAUGCUGCUGUUGCACUUCGACGAGGCGUCCCUGCGCUCGCUCAUUAACGGCGCGACGACGGAGCUGUCGCAGAUGCGCGUCUUCACGCUUAACCUGGCGAAGCUGCCGCCGCAUGACUACGAGGCGGCCCCCGAAAAGCGCUUGAGCGCCGGUGGGUGUACCAGCAGCCCCGAUGCGAGCGACCGUGCGCGGCUUGGCGGCAGCACCGCGACGCCGGACGCUGAUGUGACCCAAGUCACGGUCCAAGACACUGAGGACGAGGACGAGGAGGAGCUAGUGCCGGCGGUGCAUCCAGUGGCGGGGUCGACAGCGGCCGCAGCGGGGACCAGCACCAUUGCGGAGAAGGAGUGCCUUCCUCGUGCGUCGGUCUCCACGGGUGGCGCCCUCGCGCUCGACGAGGCCGCUACCGUCUCGUCGCUCUCUGGCGACCUCCACCACGCUAGCGACGUCAUCAGCGAUAAGCUGCACCAGAUGUUGGCAGUGGACACCAUACUGAACCCCCACGCUUCCCAACAGCAGCGUGGCCACGGGAGCGGCGACGGCGGUGCUGCCGCCACUGGCAAGAAGGAGCCGUUGCUUUUCCCCGCCAUGAUCGUCUGGCGCGCUGCCGGCGCCCCACGCGAGGAGUACCCACCGGCCCCGCCACAGACUUACUCCUCCCAGCCUCCAUCCACCCCCGCAGAGCUCUUUUCCGACCGCCUUUCUGCCCAGGGCGGGCCGCUGGUGGUGAAGGAGGCAACCGGGGUGGACCAGGUGCACUCCUUGACGCUGUUCCGCCCCGUAUUCACGAUGGAACAUCUUUUCCGCACCCUUGUCCGCACUGUCGCGCCGUCUUUUGCUGCCAGAGGUACUGGCGAGAAGUCCCGCACGGUGCUGUACCUCGGCGCAUCGUGGUGCCCGCCCUGCAUGCGCUUCGUGCGCGAGAUGCCGCAACUCAUGCGAGAGGAUCUGCCGUCGAGUGUCGUGUGCACCCUGAAGGCGGACAUGGACUUGGCCAAGCCCAUCUAUGACUACUUCAAGGUGGAGAUAAUCCCUACCUUUGUUGUCCUGGACAACGAGGUGCUCAUGAAGUGCUACGAGACCGUGCGGCGUCAGCAAAGCAGCGCUGCCGGUUGCAGUGGCGGCGGCGGCGCCUCGCAGUCCGACUACGCCCGCGCCAUACAGGAGGCCUUCUCUAAGGCAGAGCUGGGCCGCUUACAGAACUCCAACAGGCAGCUCGUGAGCACCUUUAUCUCGAAGCACAGCCAAGCUCUGAGCUUCGAUGAGGACUUCUGAAGGACGGCAUCAGUGACAGGUACCAUUGCUGCUUCUGCUGCUCGGCACACGGCUACUACCGUGCUUGACCGCUCCUGCUUAUUCCGUCUCUUUCCCACAUCGCUUCGUGACCCGUGCAUGCUGACACUUGCCCAG
rnacentral:misc_RNA from 1 species